GACGAACGCUGGCGGCGUGCUUAACACAUGCAAGUCGAACGGAAAGGCCCUGCUUUUGUGGGGUGCUCGAGUGGCGAACGGGUGAGUAACACGUGAGUAACCUGCCCUUGACUUUGGGAUAACUUCAGGAAACUGGGGCUAAUACCGGAUAGGAGCUCCUGCUGCAUGGUGGGGGUUGGAAAGUUUCGGCGGUUUGGGGUGGACUCGCGGCUUAUAAGCUUGUUGGUGGGGUAGUGGCUUACCAAGGCUUUGACGGGUCGCCGGCCUGAGAGGGUGACAGGCCACAUUGGGACUGAGAUACGGCCCAGACUCCUACGGGAGGCAGCAGUGGGGAAUAUUGCACAAUGGGCGGAAGCCUGAUGCAGCAACGCCGCGUGCGGGAUGACGGCCUUCGGGUUGUAAACCGCUUUCGCCUGUGACGAAGCGUGAGUGACGGUAAUGGGUAAAGAAGCACCGGCUAACUACGUG
rnacentral:rRNA from 1 species